rnacentral:rRNA from 1 species
GGAGCCGUAGCGAAAGCGAGUUUUAACUGAGCGUUCAGUUACUUGACGUAGACCCGAAACCGGGCGACCUACCCAUGAGCAGGAUGAAGCGAAAGUAAAAUUUCGUGGAGGUCCGAACUCACGAGCGUUGAAAAGCUCGGGGAUGACUUGUGGGUAGCGAUGAAAUUCCAAUCGAGCCUGGAGAUAGCUGGUUCUCCCCGAAAUAGCUUUAGGGCUAGCUUCAAGGUGAGAGAUACGGAGGUAGAGCACUGAAUGUCCUAGG